UCUGCACGGGUUAUCUCACGGGUACUCGGGAAAUAUUAAAAAUUACAAAACUAUCCCUUAUUUUUAAUAUAUUUACAAAACUACCUAAAGCUAACCCUAACCCUAAUUAUCUCUUGUCUCUCUGGCACUCGUCUCUCUCACGCUCGUCGGGCCGCCUCUCUCGGUCUCUCUCACACUCUCAUUGUCGUCGGUAUCUCCGCCGUGCUCUCGGUCUCUGUUCGUCCGCCUCCUUCUCUCUCUCGGUAAGAGCUUCUCCCUGGCCUUGCGCUUCCGUCUUCUCCCUCGUUGCGAACCUCUCUCUCUCGGUAAGAGCUUCUCUCUCAGACAACUUACGCCUCUUUUUUUUUUACAAGUUUCAGCCCUCUCUCUCUAGUCUCUGAUCGAUCUAUGCAGCCGUCUUCUCCCUCGUUGCGAACCUCUCUCUAGACGUGCUCUCGCUCUCUGCUUUACUCUGUCUCGAUUCGGUCCCUGCCUUGCACUCCUCGGUUUAGUCUCUUGGUCUCUGCCCUGCUCUCCAAUUCGAGGUAAAUGUUCUUCCUCUCUGUUAUUUAGCUUUCUGGUUUGCAAAAUGGUAAGAGUUUCAUUAAUUUCCGGGUUGAAGGUUUCAUGCCUUUUAUGUCUCUGCAGCAGAAGCCUGGGUUGUAAUUUUAUGGGCUCUAUAAAAUUGAGAUUUAGGGUUUUAUGGGGUUGUAUUAAAAUACAAAAUUUUCUUCCUUUCGAAUGAAGUUCUGGUGUUUGUUGAGUCAUGUUUGGUUGAUUGAUUCACUUCAAGCGAGCUUAGCACUCUUGUAAGUAAGAAUUUCAGGGCGUCAUGUCCCAAAACCAUUAUAACAUGAACCCAUGAUAUAAACGAGAAGCGGUUGGAUGAUCUCUCUACCUUUGAAGAAGAUUUUCCAUCAAAGUCUUCAUUUGAGAAAGAAGCGGGUUAUUUAACCGAAUGAUGAGGUAUGUUCCUCGUAUGUGUUUAAGAAUUAUGAUGGAUUUUGGAUAUGUUUUGGUUUUGGACGUUGUUAAACUGUGAAUUUUAUGUUUUUUUUUAUGUUGUUGAACUUAUGAAUCAUGAUGUA